GAGUUUGAUCGUGGCUCAGAGUGAACGCUGGCGGUAGGCCUAACACAUGCAAGUCGAACGGUAACAGGUCUUUCGGGAUGCUGACGAGUGGCGGACGGGUGAGGAAUACAUCGGAAUCUGCUCAGUCGUGGGGGAUAACGCAUGGAAACGUGCGCUAAUACCGCAUACGACCUUCGGGUGAAAGCAGGGGAAUCUUUAGGGAUCCUUGCGCGAUUGAAUGAGCCGAUGUCGGAUUAGCUAGUUGGUAGGGUAAAAGCCUACCAAGGCGACGAUCCGUAGCUGGUCUGAGAGGAUGAUCAGCCACACUGGGACUGAGACACGGCCCAGACUCCUGCGGGAGGCAGCAGUGGGGAAUAUUGGACAAUGGGGGCAACCCUGAUCCAGCCAUACCGCGUGGGUGAAGAAGGCCUUCUGGGUUGUAAAGCCCUUUUGUUGGGGAAGAAAAACAACGGGUUAAUACCCCGUUGGUAUGACGGUACCCAAAGAAUAAGCACCGGCUAACUUCGUGCCAGCAGCCGCGGUAAUACGAAGGGUGCAAGCGUUACUCGGAAUUACUGGGCGUAAAGGGUGCGUAGGUGGUUGCGCCAGUCUGUCGUGAAAGCCCUGGGCUUAACCUGGGAAUGGCGAUGGAAACUGUGCAACUAGAGUGUGACAGAGGGUGGUGGAAUUCCUGGUGUAGCAGUGAAAUGCGUAGAGAUCAGGAGGAACAUUCGUGGCGAAGGCGGCCACCUGGGUCAACACUGACACUGAGGCACGAAAGCGUGGGGAGCAAACAGGAUUAGAUACCCUGGUAGUCCACGCCCUAAACGAUGCGAACUGGAUGUUGGGUCCAACUUGGGAUUCAGUAUCGAAGCUAACGCGUUAAGUUCGCCGCCUGGGGAGUACGGU
rnacentral:rRNA from 1 species